GAUGAACGCUAGCGGCAGGCUUAAUACAUGCAAGUCGAGGGGUAGCAAGAUUGUAGCAAUACAAUUGUUGACGACCGGCAAACGGGUGCGGAACACGUACACAACCUUCCUACAAGUGGGGAAUAGCCCAGAGAAAUUUGGAUUAAUACCCCGUAACAUAGCGAUGUGGCAUCACAUUGCUAUUAUAGCUUCGGCGCUUGUUGAUGGGUGUGCGGCUGAUUAGAUAGUUGGCGGGGUAACGGCCCACCAAGUCCACGAUCAGUAGCUGAUGUGAGAGCAUGAUCAGCCACACGGGCACUGAGACAAGGGCACGACUCCUACGGGAGGCAGCAGUAAGGAAUAUUGGACAAUGGACGCAAGUCUGAUCCAGCCAUGCCGCGUGAAGGAUUAAGGUCCUCUGGAUUGUAAACUUCUUUUAUAAGGGACGAAAAAAGGUCUUUCUAGAUCGUCUGACGGUACCUUAUGAAUAAGCACCGGCUAACUCCGUGCCAGCCGCCGCGGUAACAC
rnacentral:rRNA from 1 species